UUUAUAGUAUGUGUGAAAGGGAUACACACAUUUAGUAAAACCCAUACAUCAAAUUUUGAGUUUUGAUCUUUUCCUGGGCUAACAGUAUGUGGUAAGAUCCUCCCAUACAAGGUUGAGCAAGGGCAGUGAGCUGCAGCUUCCAGGCAACUGAGUAGUCAUGAGUGGAAACAACCGGUACUCUAUACAGUGUGCGCAUUGCUAUGAUGUUCAUUAUGUUAGGUAUAUUUAAUGCAGUUUGGAUUUACAUUAUUUCUACCUUAUGAUAUACUUAUCAGGACACAAGCUGAUGGUAAGGAACGUAUGUAUUUAAAAUUACAUUUUAUGACUAUAUUGUUAUAAAGUAACCAUAUUAAUAUUAGUUGCUUUAUUCAGUAUAAAAGUUCAUGGUUUCCUUCUGAUUUUAAAAGAAAUCUAAACAUUUUUAUGAACUCCUAAAAGUGUUGUGGGCCUUAGGUAUGAUGCCUGCUAUGCCAUAUGGAUAAACUGGCUCUGGCACCAGCGCCAUAAGAGAUUACAUAAAGCUUCUAAAAGGCACAUCGCUCUACCCAGCCUCAUAUUUAGAUUUCAGUUUCAUAACUAGUACACUAUUUGUUGCGAAAGAGCCACGUAUGAGGACCAGGAAUACUUUCUGGGAAAUGGCUAAUGAGCCAGAGAGUAUAUUUUCUCUAAUCCUUCAAAAAUAGAGUCUUCCUAUUUGAAAGAUGGCGGAUUCUUCAGAAGAGCAGCCAGGACAAGAGGAGAGAGAGAAUAUGGAUUGGAAUAGCAGCUGGUAACAGGUGCACAGCAAAGGCAGAAUGGGC
rnacentral:lncRNA from 1 species